AACGCACCUUGCACUCUUUGGUAUUCCGAAGAGUACGCCUGUUCGAGUGUCAUGAAACUCUCAAACCGUCUGGGGGUUUACUCUCCCUUUCGGUUUGGAUUUGGACUCUGCUGUGUCACAACGGCUAGUCUUAAAUAUAUUAGCUGUCUGAAUCGUCUUUGACUCGGUUUGCACCCAGCGUGAUAAUUAUUAUCGUUGGGGACGUCUUAGCUGACGGCCUGGUCGACUUUUGUGAGACUGCUUCUUAAUCGUGCAUCCCCUUUUGCACAACGAUCAACGAUCGUUCCAUUUCAAAUCUGACCUCGAAUCAGGCGGGACUACCCGCUGAACUUAA
rnacentral:misc_RNA from 1 species